rnacentral:rRNA from 1 species
GUAACACGUGGAUAAUCUACCUUUUAGUGAGGAAUAACCAUGGGAAACCGUGGCUAAUACCGCAUGAGCUCGAGAGAGGAAAGUCGCAAGACGCUGAAAGAGGAGUCCGCGGCCGAUUAGCUAGUUGGUAGGGUAAAAGCCUACCAAGGCAGAGAUCGGUAGCCGGCCUGAGAGGGCACACGGCCACACUGGCACUGAAACACGGGCCAGACUCCUACGGGAGGCAGCAGUGGGGAAUCUUGCACAAUGGGGGAAACCCUGAUGCAGCGACGCCGCGUGAGCGAUGAAGCCCUUCGGGGUGUAAAGCUCUUUCGGCAGGGAAGAUAGUGACGGUACCUGCAGAAGCAGCUGCGGCUAACUACGUGCCAGCAGCCGCGGUGAUACGUAGGCAGCGAGCGUUGUUCGGAGUUACUGGGCGUAAAGGGUGUGUAGGCGGUUGUUUAAGUUUGGUGUGAAAUCUCCCGGCUCAACUGGGAGGGUGCGCCGAAUACUGAAUGACUUCGAGUGCGGGAAGGAAA